rnacentral:rRNA from 1 species
GACGUAGGGCGCGAGCGUUGUCCGGAUUUAUUGGGCGUAAAGAGCUCGUAGGCGGCUUGUCGCGUCGUCCGUGAAAACCUGCGGCUCAACUGCAGGCUGGCGGUCGAUACGGGCAGGCUGGAGUUCGGUAGGGGAGACUGGAAUUCCUGGUGUAGCGGUGAAAUGCGCAGAUAUCAGGAAGAACACCCGUGGCGAAGGCGGCUCUCUGGGACGGUACUGACGCUGAGACGCGAAAGCGUGGGGAGCGAACAGG